AAGGACCAAUCACUGUUCCUGGAUGUAUUGCAACCAAAUCAAUGCCAUUCUCUUUUGCAAACUUCCAAGCAGCCUCUUCAGCUAAGGUCUUUGCAAGAGAAUACCACUCCUGAAAGAAAGCUAAUGGGUAAAGAGAGAAGAAAAGAAAAUUUAAAGAAAUCUAACAGCAUGACGUAAAUACUAAGAAAUCGUAAAAUUCAAUUUACACACUUUAUUCUCCUUGCAAAGAACUGGAUUUGAAAACCAGGUUUCAUCAAUUACGACAUCAGGGGUCAUAGGAGUUUCAUUUAGUAACAUUGCACCAAUAGAAGAGGUUAAGACUACUCUCUUGAUUGAAUGGACUUUUGCACAUGAUCUAAGAACAUUAAGUGUUCCCAUGACUGCUGGAUCAACAAUAUCUGCCUGAAAAUAUUGCAAGAGAAUUUGAAAGCAGCUAUCAUACGGACAGAGACAAUUGCAUUGAACUGUACCAUCAAUUAUAUUGCAGGAAAGCUAAAACAAAUGUUUUAACUUAAUGAGAAAAACCUGAGGGUUAUCGCUCGAGAAAAUCACAGGGGAUGCUGUAUGGAAAACACCAUCACAUCCAUCAACUGCUGAAUCAAAAGAUCCUUCUUCCAACAAGUUUGCCUUGAAUAAAUGGAGCCUUUCCGUUGCUCCAUCAAGUUCCCGCAAGUGUUCUGUCUUGGGGCUAUCUAUGGGGUACAUAUAAUAUCAGAACUCGUACGUCCAAUGAGGUUUACCAGUAUAUUGAAUCUAUUUCUGAAAGUGGAAAAUAUUUUGAGUGCCAGGAGAAUUAAUUACAGUCAUUUAUAAUUCAAAAUUAUCAACGGCCUUAAUUCUGAGGGAGAACAUAAAUAAAUAUACAAACACAAGGAAAAAACGAACUAAUAGAAAUGAUAUUCUCUUCACUGUUGUCAAUUAUAAGUGGUUGGGUGGUCGGUAAAUAUUAGCCAUCAAGUGGGUGUCUACCAAUUAUUUAGUUGCUCUGCUUCAAAUUUAUAAGAAGCCUAACAGUCCACUGCUAAAAAUAAAAUUUAGGAAGGACAAAUGCUACAUUUUUUAAGUAGCAUCUUAAUCUUUAAAUGUGGUAAUAUUCAUUAAUUAGAUGAUAGAAUAUCCUGAAGAGUAAUUUGAAAACUCUUCCAUUCUUAAAAAUGAUGCCUUAAAGGCUUAAAGAGAAAAAUAACAGCAAAUAAAUCUUCACCAUCAAAUAUUAAGAACGCCAAAUUUUAUUAGAUCCUCAAAAAUCAUGAACAGAAGAAAAAAUCUUGUUGGGUCAGAUGCACCACGUGACAAAUCUCCGACUCCAUGGAUAGAUAAAGAGAGUUAAAAAACAGAAAAAAGAAAAAAGGAAAAAAGAAAAGAAAACUGCUGUGAGAAAGAGAUACUGACUUGGGUCACGAACAGUGGCUUUGACAGUGUAACCCCGUUGAAGUAAAAGCUUGACAAGCCAUGAAGCUACGAAACCUGAAGCUCCAGUUACACAAACCACCUUCUCUUCUCCUUCUCCACUCAUCAUCUCUUUCUCUUACUGUGAAUUUGUGCCGAAAGAAAAGUCAAGGUAAAGUUUGAGCAUUUUAUGGCUUAUGUUCUGUUAGGAAAUUGAGUAUCCUCCUAAGAUUUCUCCAGGAAAUUUAUUAAGUAAUAAAUUAAUAAAAAAAAAUUAAAUAAUACAAAAUUUACGUUAAAAAAUUUAAAUUUAAAAAAAAAUUACGGUCGUUGUCACAAGAUAAUUAAAAAAAAAUAUUUAUUAUGUAAAAAAUUAUUACAAUCACUCUUUCAAAAAUAAUUUUUUCUUACCUAAUUCUCAAAUACACCCCCAAACAAACAAUCUCUGAAUGAAGAAGAGAAACCAAAGAUUGGAUGCAAAAACUAAAGAUGGGAGCUUCCUUUAUAUAGCCAAAAUCGGCUAUUAUUUUAAUAUUUUCUUUAUUCUUCUCGUGACUUCUUCAAAACCUUUUUCUUCCUUUCAUUUUGGCGUUCCAACCAUUAUUUGUCAAGAUCAACUUUUGCAACAUGUUCUUCAUUCUUCCUUCUUUUUCUUCCUUGGCGCCUAACCCUUCAACAUUUGCUACAUCAACACACUUCUAAAUGUAGCUUCUAGAAGCUGCAGCCAAAUACUUUGACAUGUUCAUGGUCAUUUCAUUGUCUAUUUAAUUUUUUAAGCAUCCCGACUAGCAUCCCCUUAGUUUUCCUUCUUUUUUUUUUUUUAAAUUGUCAGAGCGGCCCUGAUGAUUUUUUUAAUGAGUAAUUUCCCAAUUGCUUUUUGCUCGUAAAUUAACGAAGGUUUAACAUUGUUUCUGUCUUAUUUAGUUGCAAUUUGCUCAUUGCAAUCUCAUUCCUGCCGGCAAAACAAACAUAACAAACUUCACCCAAUUGCAUUUCGCUUUCUCCUUAGAGACUGGCUUAUUGGCUUAUAUUUGCAUCUUAAAAUCUGCCAUGGCCCAUGAACAAACACAUGGUUUUCUUUUACUUAAAGAACAAGUUAUCAAAUAAAUAAGCCAAGUUAAAAUGAACACUGCUACUGAAACAUACUAUUCCUGAGGUUCAAAGAAGGGCAAUAUUCACGCAAAAUCUUCAGAACUUAAUAACGCUAAAAUGCAUCUGCAAUUAGCUGCAGGAAUCUCAGGAGCUGAGCUUGAAUGUGCGCAUAUAUGAAAUCUCUAACAUUAGCAAUUCUAUAGGGCAGGGGAAUGUUUGAACUCAUGCAUUUUGAAAAACUCAGACACUGGGGCAAAACUAAUGUAAUUCAGGUACGGGAUAUACAGACACAGAAGCCGAAGCAAGAUGUCGCAGGCCAUUCAGGUGAUGAGGUAUUUUUUUUUAAAACCUGAAUUAGGGUCUUUUAACAAAAAUUUCAUUAAUUGCACUGUCAUGCUUGUAAAAUAUCCAUGAUUUCGUUUUCGGAAGGUCUUCAAAACCACUUAAAUUCUCACCUUUUAAGACAAUGCUUUAGAUUUGCUCUAGAUGUGCUAAGGAGGAAGAUUAUUUAUCUCGACACAUUUACAAAUUAGAAUCUUCUUAACUAUACUAGGCUCUCAUAGCUUGACAUUAUGCAGCAGUUUAUCAUCAUAAAACUGGCAGAUAUUACUAUGAAAGCAAAUUGUUUGCUUUCAAAUGUGCCACACUAUUGUAUAAUAAUAAUAUUUCCUAUAAAUAGUCCAGGAUCUUGUGGACAGCUUGAUGAACACCUGGUCACGUCUUGCAUGAUAUGAUUUUGCAAUGAUUGCUGUAUCGGGUGGAUUAUCAAUCAUUUGAACACAGCUGAAAAAGUAAUAGAAGUUCAAAUUUUUUAGAGGUGGCGAAAGAAACCAAAUACGCAACUACUCUCAAUACUUUGCAUCAUUCAACUACUAAGGAAACCCUUCUCCUUCAAGCUUUCAACAGUAUCCCUAACACCAACCUCCCAAGGCGUAAAAUUGAUGCCUAAACUUUUUGCUCUUUCUUGAGAAACUUUGCAUGUGGGCUCAUACUUCGCAUCAAAUCUGCCAUCAGUAAACAGAUAUUAUUUUAUGUACUUAGAAAAAGCAAACUCUUCAAAAGAAAAAACUUAUAUGAAAAGCCAACCAAAAAACACAGUGCUGCUGAUACAUACUUUCCAGCAACCAGCAGAGUAGGAUAAUGUUCAUGCAGAAACUUUAGAAUAUCAUAAAGCUGGACCACGCUUCCAACUAACAAAUAUCUUCCGUUAGCUGUAGGAACCUCAAGAGCUUGAAUUUGUGCAUAUGCUACAUCUCUAAUAUCAACGAAUCUGUAGGGGCUCGGGAAGGAUUGAGCACCUGCAUUGAGAAAACCUCAACCUCUUUGUAAUAAACUUAUAAAAUUGUGUGAAAGAGCAUGAUCAAUGAUAUUCAUACUUCUCUAUUGUAGCUGAAUAUUACCAUUUAUGAGGUUCAGAAUCACGUCUGCACCAAAGUUAAGGAUUGGAUGAAAGAAAGGACCAAUCACUAUUCCUGGAUUUAUUGCAACCAAAUCAAUGCCAUUCUCUCUUGCAAAUUUCCAAGCAGCCUCUUCAGCUAAGGUCUUUGCAAGAGGAUACCACUUCUGAAAGAAAAUUAAAGUAGAUUAACAGGUAAAUAUCUUGCUGCGAUCCUACAGGUGAGUUAAAACAUUUACACACCUUAUUCUCUUUGCAAAAAACUGAACUUGAAAACCAAGUUUCAUCAAUUACUACAUCAGGGGUCGUAGGAUUUCCAUUUUGUGUCAUUGCAGCCGUGGAAGAGGUUAAGACUACUCUCUUGAUUGAAUG
rnacentral:lncRNA from 1 species